rnacentral:misc_RNA from 1 species
GACGAAAAUUAACUCUAAUAAUAAACAGAGUCUCUCGAUCGUAGCCAUUUCGAACUUUUGUUCAGUUUGUCUUCAAGAAUGGCAAAUUUCAGGUGCUUGGCAAUUCUUGUUUUAUUUGUUUCAACCUUGGCUGUUAGUGAAAGCAGGGUUGCAAGAAAGGACCUGGGGCUGGAUCUUGGAGGAGUAGGGGUUGGGUUGGGAGUCGGACUAGGCCUUGGAUUGGGUGGUAGUGGAUCAGGCUCUGGUGCAGGAGCAGGCUCCGGCUCUGGUUCUGGAUCCAGUUCAAGCUCAAGCUCCAGCUCCAGUUCAUCCUCUUCAUCACGGUCUAAUUCUGGGUCGGGUGGCUCGGGUGCUGGUUCGGAAGCAGGUUCUUCUGCUGGAUCUUAUGCUGGCUCCAGGGCUGGGUCAGGUUCGGGAAACGGGCAUGGAAAAUGAGUGCAGCAGGUGUAUGAUUUUCUUGUGAACAAAAAUAAGUGCAAGCACCAAAAGCAUAUUAAGUUAAUCAACUAUAUAUAAAUAUAUAAAUGGUGAUGAAUAUCAUGUCUUAUGCAUAUGCAUCAAUGUAAUUUUGGUUUUAUGAAAACCAUAAUAAUAGUCUAUUUUUCGUUUAUGAAAAGCAAUAAACAU